rnacentral:rRNA from 1 species
GGAGGGUGCAAGCGUUAAUCGGAAUUACUGGGCGUAAAGCGCGCGUAGGCGGCGUGUCACGCCGGGUGUGAAAGCCCCGGGCUCAACCUGGGAACGGCAUCCGGAACGGGCAGGCUAGAGUGCAGGAGAGGAAGGUAGAAUUCCCGGUGUAGCGGUGAAAUGCGUAGAGAUCGGGAGGAAUACCAGUGGCGAAGGCGGCCUUCUGGACUGACACUGACGCUGAGGUGCGAAAGCGUGGGUAGCAAACAGGAUUAGAUACCCUGGUAGUCCACGCCGUAAACGAUGUCGACUAGCCGUUGGGUCCCUUGAGGACUUAGUGGCGCAGUUAACGCGAUAAGUCGACCGCCUGGGGAGUACGGCCGCAAGGUUA